UAAAAUGGCGACCACGCCCCCGGUAGUUUGUUUGUGUACGAUUGUGUUUUGUUUUAGCAUUUUUUUCCCACGGGUUUACCCACCCCCAAGGCCCCAAGAUGUAUGUAAAGACUUAAAGGGUUGCAAUAUGGUAAAAGACCUUGAAGGGUCUAAAGCCUCCAACCAUUACCACUCAAUCAAUCUCAAAUCGUAUAAAUGAAGAGUUCUUGGGUUGUAACUUGAGAUCUGUUAGUUAUAUUGAACAAAUCGUAGAGGGCUUUAUUAUAGAUCUCAAUGAGGUCUACAAGAAUGAGCCUAUACAUUUUUUUUGUAAACUCAACAGUUUUUGAGAUAUUAGGCUCGGAAAUGAUAACAUGUUCUCUCUGUUCCUGAACCCUUAAACUCUUUGGUAUGGAACAGGAAGGAGGUCCUGGAUGACAAAAAGACUUAUUGGGAAGAGCAUAGAGGAUCCUUUAAUUUCUCCAUGAAGAACCAAUAAAGAAAAAUGACCAGCCGAGGUCGGGACCUGCUCGAGUGGUGCUAAAAGAUCAUAAAGGCUACUCAUACAUGGAAUUUGAUGCUUAUAUCCAAAAAUUGUAACCAAAGGACCUCAUGUAUCUCUGCGAGACAGUGUUCCUCAGCCCCAAGAAGCCCUGGGUGGAAAAAAAGGCGUCUAUAACUGAAUCAGAUUGCUAGGAUUUUCCAGCAGCAACAAAACGUGUUCAGUUGAACCUUGUUACUCCCACAGGAUCACCUAGGAGGCCCUGUAAGUGUCAUUCCAGUUGUUUUUCUCAAAUUUCUUGUGUUACUUCGGGGUCAUUUUUAGUGUCACCUGUGAGAAAACAAACUGUACGUUAAAAAAGGAGAAAAAGUAAUGAUGGAGAUGAUGGUAUAGGAGAAUUCAACAGAAUAACUAGAGUUAUUUUUUGCUUGGGAUAGGAGCGACUCGGAGUACCGCUACUACAAGUCCUCCACCUCGCCCCUGAUCCCCAUUCCGCCCUCCAUCUACGAGGAGGUGCCCCAGUUCCUGAAAUUCAUCAUCUGCUGCGAGUAUCCGAUGUACGACUCCCUCAACGAGAAAAC